rnacentral:rRNA from 1 species
GACGUAGGAUGCGAGCGUUGUCCGGAUUUAUUGGGCGUAAAGAGUUCGUAGGUGGUUCGUUAAGUCUGGUGUAAAAGACUGGGGCUCAACCCUGGGAUCGCACUGGAUACUGGCGGACUGGAGUGUGGUAGAGGCAAGCGGAAUUCCCAGUGUAGCGGUGAAAUGCGUAGAUAUUUGGGUAGAACACCGGUGGCGCAAGCGGCUUGCUGGGCCAUAACUGACACUGAGGAACGAAAGCUAGGGGAGCGAAUGGG